GGUAAGGUGGCCGAGUGGUUAUGGGUAUGUUCUUCCCAUCGCUUCUUCUCACUUGGAAUACCAUCUAACAGGCGGCAGCGUGUGACUCAAGUUGAUUUAAUCAUCUUGCUUGGCAAUACAAGCGCAUUCUCAUGGGCUUAUGCCCGCGGGGGUUCGAAUCCCCCCCUUAUCA
rnacentral:tRNA from 1 species